UGCAGUCGAACGAUGAAGCCCAGCUUGCUGGAUGGAUUAGUGGCGAACGGGUGAGUAACACGUGAGUAACCUGCCCUUGACUCUGGGAUAAGCGUUGGAAACGACGUCUAAUACCGGAUACGAGCUUCCACCGCAUGGUGAGUUGCUGGAAAGAAUUUUGGUCAAGGAUGGACUCGCGGCCUAUCAGCUUGUUGGUGAGGUAAUGGCUCACCAAGGCGACGACGGGUAGCCGGCCUGAGAGGGUGACCGGCCACACUGGGACUGAGACACGGCCCAGACUCCUACGGGAGGCAGCAGUGGGGAAUAUUGCACAAUGGGCGAAAGCCUGAUGCAGCAACGCCGCGUGAGGGACGACGGCCUUCGGGUUGUAAACCUCUUUUAGCAGGGAAGAAGCGAAAGUGACGGUACCUGCAGAAAAAGCACCGGCUAACUACGUGCCAG
rnacentral:rRNA from 1 species